UUUUCCCUGUUUUCUUUUCUCUAGAAUAACUAGACUUUGAAGUCCUUCAUCUCAGGCAGACACUUACUUGCUCUGCUCUUGAACACAAUGGGAAUUAUCAAGUGAGCAGAUUGAAGAGGGACCUCAUCAGAAGCUGAAAAAGAGUUUCCAAGAGGAGAAGGAUGGAGAGGUUGAGUCUGGAGGUUAGUUAAGUCAGACAGGAGAGAUAAUAAAACAGGCAAUAAAUACUUAGACACGCCAUUCCAAUUUGCCAUUUUUUCAGGGCCAACUAUACUGAACUCAAGUACAUAUUGGGAAAAUUUUGAAGACUCUCACCUUCAUCACCUGCCAUUUAACCAUGAGGGAAAAGAAAAGGAAAGGAAAAAAGAAAUCAGAAUUCAUUCCGGAACAAAUAACUUCAGGCAAGAGGAAACAAAAGUUCAAAAAUCUUGCAGACCUCAGCAAAAAGGCCUCUGAGGAAAUGACAUGACUACAUUAUAUCCUGGACAAAACCAAGUCAACAUUCCCUUGGCUUUAUAAUUACUGGAUAGACAAUUAUUUACAGGUGGGAAAAAAGAAAGAAAAACUCAAGUGUACGUAUCUGUUAUCAGAUGAGAAGGUGCUUUGAGCACUGAUAUAAAAACUAAUUCUCAGACUUGGAUAUUUUUUAAUGACAAAAUAUUUCUAUGUGGACAGUAUCACCUCAAAAAACUUGUAUGUGUGACAGAGUGUGUGCCAGGGUGACAUGAGAGCUCCACCCUACCCUCCCCACCUCCCCACCAGAGCCCAGUCAACCACUGAAUAGAUCCUUCUGUGAGCUGGAGCACAGGGACAAACCAUUCUAUGUCAAAGACUUGCCAAGGCACUGCACUGACUUGAACUCCAAUAAGAAAAUUUCAAAUCCGCCCUGUUGGUUGCCAGUAAACGAGGAUUUCUGAGAGAGUGGAAC
rnacentral:lncRNA from 1 species